ACCAGCAGCCACCCCAUCCAGGUGACCUUCGUCAUGGACUCGGUCGACAUGGACCAUCAGCUGGCCAGCCACACCUACGGCCCCUCCCUCUGUGUCCUCGUACCCCCCGCCCUACACAUCAGCUCCUACCUCAUAGCCGAAUCCAGUGUUGCUUUCGACUUUUGCUAUGCCAAGGAGAGCUCAGGAAACUUGUUAGGCGUUUUAGUGACGUCAAAACGACCGGUUGGUGUCGUAUCCGGCAAUUGUUGGUCCAUGACCUCCAUGCCGGUACAAGACACAGCGGUCAAGGUCAACCUCAGCCGGAAUGUACUGGCAGAAAUGCUGUUUCCCUUGAAGAAGUUGGGCAUCGAAUACGUCAC